rnacentral:rRNA from 1 species
UACGUGGGGGGCAAGCGUUGUCCGGAAUCAUUGGGCGUAAAGAGCGUGUAGGCGGUUCGGUAAGUCGGCUGUGAAAGUCCAGGGCUCAACCCUGGGAUGCCGGUCGAUACUGCCGGACUAGAGUUCGGAAGAGGCGAGUGGAAUUCCCGGUGUAGCGGUGAAAUGCGCAGAUAUCGGGAGGAACACCUAUGGCGAAGGCAGCUCGCUGGGACGUUACUGACGCUGAGACGCGAAAGCGUGGGGAGCAAACAGG